AACGAACGCUGGCGGCAUGCCUAAUACAUGCAAGUCGAACGGAGGGUGCUUGCACCCUUAGUGGCAAACGGGUGAGUAACGCGUGGGAAUCUACCCUUUGGUGGGGGACAACUGGAGGAAACUUCAGCUAAUACCGCAUAUUCUUGGCAACAAGGAAAGAUUUAUCGCCAAAGGAUGAGCCCGCGUCAGAUUAGGUAGUUGGUAGGGUAAUGGCCUACCAAGCCUGUGAUCUGUAGCUGGUCUGAGAGGAUGAUCAGCCACACUGGGAUUGAGAUACGGCCCAGACUCCUACGGGAGGCAGCAGUAAGGAAUAUUGGACAAUGGGGGAAACCCGUGAUCCAGCAAUGCCGCGUGAAUGAAGAAGGCCUUAGGGUUGUAAAGUUCUUUCGCUUACGAAGAAUAAAUGACGGUAGUAAGAUAAGAAGGUCCGGCUAACUCUGUG
rnacentral:rRNA from 1 species